rnacentral:piRNA from 1 species
UUUAACUGUCCUAUGACGCUUCCCUCAUC